AUGAUCAUCCCUGCCGAGGCAGCGGCCGCGCCGGGCUACGUCGGCCGCAAGAGGCCUCACGAGCUCACCCUCGCCGUGUAUGAACCCGCCGCCGCGGAGCAACGGGCCAACGCGGCCGGCCUCUCCCUCUCCGGCGCUCUUGUCCCGUUCUUGGCGCCGCCCAUCGACGCCACGCCCAUCAAGGCCGUGCCGCUCUCCGCCGUCGCUCCCCGAGCCGAGCCAGCAUGGAUACGCCCCUACUUCGGCCUGCGGCUCGACCUGCCGGUGCACUUCAUCGAUGAGAAGGUCCUGACCGCCACCGACCUCGACCCGCAGCAGAACCGGUUCCGGCUCCCGACUGCGGGCGUGCUGCGCAGCCUCCGCCCGAUCCUCUCCCCCGAGGAGCUCUACGCCGCCAGCAUACCGCGUGAGGGCGCCAGGCCGCCGCCCCCGCCGACCGAGGAGGAGGAGCUGCAGCAGAGGAAGAAGAGGCAGGGCAAGAAGCACGGUGGGCUCCCCGUUGUCGUGUGCAACGUCCACGCCGGCACCAAGGCGUUGUAGCUGACGCAGUGGGAGAGCAGCCACGGCAACAUCAUCAAGGGGGAAGGGUACCUGGACUUCAUCACCCGGUGCUGCUUCGAGGAGAAGGACGUCGUCGAGAUCUGGGCCUUCAAGGAGCGCCACUUCCACCUCUUCGGCGUCGACAUGUGCCGUGCGAGCCCGCUCUACGUUGUGCUGGCCAAGAAAGAGCAGUGGCCGGCGGCGUCGUCCAUGGGGAUGGCCAAGUGUACGAUGUAG
rnacentral:rRNA from 1 species